rnacentral:rRNA from 1 species
CCUACGGGAGGCAGCAGUGGGGGAUAUUGCACAAUGGAGGGAACCCUGAUGCAGCGACGCCGCGUGGGUGAAGGAGCGUUUCGGCGCGUAAAGCCCUAUCUGCAUGGAAGUAGGAGGUCGGUACCUGGCUAAUAAGCACCGGCUAACUACGUGCCAGCAGCCGCGGUAAUACGUAGGGGGCAAGCGUUAUCCGGAUUUACUGGGUGUAAAGGGGUCGCUGACGGCAGCGUAAGCCAGUAGUGAAAGCCCGGGGCUCAACCGCAGGACUGCUCUUGGAACUGCGCGGCUGGAGUACAGUAGGGGCGGGCGGAAUGCCUGGUGUAGCGGUGAAAUGCGUAGAGAUCAGGAGGAACACCGGUGGCGAAGGCGGUCUGCUGGACUGCGACUGACGUUGAGGCCCGAAAGCGUGGGGAGCAAACAGGAUUAGAUACCCUAGUAGUC